rnacentral:rRNA from 1 species
AUUGAACGCUGGCGGCAUGCCUUACACAUGCGAGUCGAACGGUAACGCGGGGCAACCUGGCGACGAGUGGCGCACGGGUGAGUAAUGCAUCGGAACGUGCCCAGAAGUGGGGGAUAGCCCGGCGAAAGCCGGAUUAAUACCGCAUGAGACCUGAGGGUGAAAGCGGGGGAUCGCAAGACCUCGCGCUUUUGGAGCGGCCGAUGUCAGAUUAGCUAGUUGGUGGGGUAAAGGCCUACCAAGGCGACGAUCUGUAGCUGGUCUGAGAGGACGACCAGCCACACUGGGACUGAGACACGGCCCAGACUCCUACGGGAGGCAGCAGUGGGGAAUUUUGGACAAUGGGCGCAAGCCUGAUCCAGCCAUGCCGCGUGCGGGAAGAAGGCCUUCGGGUUGUAAACCGCUUUUGUCAGGGAAGAAACGCUCUGGGCUAAUACCCUGGGGUAAUGACGGUACCUGAAGAAUAAGCACCGGCUAACUACGUG